rnacentral:lncRNA from 1 species
AAAAUCUUGAUCUCUCCCCAAUUUUCAAUCAAAAGGUCCUGGUGCUGCACUGAAUGCUGUUGGUGGUAUGGGCUUGAUGCAGUCAUCAAGAAUGGUAAAUACGCUCAUCACUGGUGCAUUCUUCUGCAUCAAGAACAUUUCUCAUUCAGUGACAUUUGCUGGUUUCCUCUAAGAAAAGGGUCUAUUCUUUAUUUGGAAAAAGGGCCCCUCAUGGUGAAGAUACUACUGUCAGGGAGUCUGACCACAGGUCAUCAAAAACAGUUCAAAUCCUGAAGAUCUAGCCAAGCAAAAAGUCAUUGAGCAGCUCCCCACAGAUGACUUUGCUCCAGCAGGAAGUACACACAUGCC